rnacentral:lncRNA from 10 species
AAUCUUGAAUAGGUCAAAAAGAGCAAGAGGAAAAUGUCAGAGAAUGGAGAAAGGCAAAUACAGAGAAGCAGUGUGAACAUCCACCCGGCGAGGUGACCUGAUGGUGCUGCUCCAUGUCAGAGACAGUAGUGUCUGGGAAGAGGGAGCCCUUUCCACAGGGUGGAGCAAAAGGCCUGGAGCUGACACCUGGCUCCUGGGCCCACUCGCCCACCACCUCGAGCAACUCCCUUCCUUAACGUCUGCCCGAGUGUUAAGGGCUGAGCACAUGACCUCACAGGAGGAUGUGAGGGGCAGCGGUAACAUGUGUCUAGCACUUUGUCCCUUAUAAGUCACUCACAAAUACUUAUAUCCUUAUUAUCUUCAUCCUUUUCUCUUGAGUUUUUCUCUAAUUCUUUAAGAAGGAAACACGUAGCCAGGAAGUGGAGAGCCUCUCACAUACUUGGGGAGUUUUCAUAUUUCCCCCAUCAGUUCCUUUUCUGGCCUGAGCUCAUGCUCCCUAAGAUCAGGGCUUGGGCUUUGUUUUAGUCUGUGUUGUUAUAAAAGAAUAUCCAACAGUGUGUAAUUUAUAAAGAAAAGAGGUUGACUUGGCUCAUGGUUCUGCAGGCUGUACAGGAACAAGCUUGGCUCCAGCAUCUGCUUGGCUUCUAGGGAGGCCUCAGGAAGCCUUUACUCAUGGGGGAAGGCAAAGGGGAGCAGGCAUUAUGUGAGAGGAAGGAAGAGAGAGGCAGGGGAGGUGCCAGGCCCUUUUAAACAAUCAGCGCCCAUGGGAAAUAACAGAGCCAGAACUCACUCAUUAACUUCAGAAUGGCACCAAGCCAGUCAUAAGGAUCCACCUCCAUGACCCAGACACCUGCCACCAGGCCACGCCCAGUAUCAGGGAUCACAUUUUAACGUGAGACUCGGAGGGGACAAACAUCCAAAUCACAUCUGGCCCCAUAACCUUUGGAGACCUCAGCUCUGGCGCUAGGGUGGGUUUCACAGAGCCAAGCAGAAAAGGAGCACAGGUGACCUUGGCAGGAAGGCAUGCAUGGGAGAGCAGGUCUGCACUCUGGGACACCAGCCUCAACAGAAUACGAGUUUUGAAUUUUUGAAUUGCUGUUAAAACUUUCAUCAUGAACACUGAAGUGAGUGAAAAGAGACUUUUGCAGUCAUUUUUUUGUUCUCAGGUCCCUGGACCAUGAAGGGCCACAUCCAAGGAGCUACCCCAGGAGGCCUCUCAUUUGCAUUUGUCCCCGCUAAUGCAGGACAGAGAUCAUGGAAGUUGGGCCCGACUGGAUGAGAUUUGGGGGUCUUUGGAAGUGGAGAAUGUGUUUGCCCUGGGGAAGAGGUGAGUAUGUUCACAGGACAGUUGUGAGUUAUUGUGGUCAGAGGGAAACCUGGGUCAGAUGGGUUACAAAGAUGGGUGCAAAACCUCUCUGUUCUUCAUGCAUGCCUCUCCAAAAUAUGACUUUGCCAUUUCUUUCAUGAAGAGGUGAUGUCUAGGAGACCUCUUCACUCAGGGCAAGCUCUAUGACCUGCUUUGACUCCAGAAUGUGGUAGAAGUGGCAUCACAUAAAUUGCAGAGCCUAGGCUUCAAGAGACCUUGCAACUUGCCUCUCACUGACUUGAAGUGCUCCCAUCAGAGCAUCUUGUAAGGAGCAGGUGGAGCAUGUGGACAAGCCAUCCCCACCAGCCCCUGAGACAUGUGAGAGAGGCCAGAACAGGCCAUCCGGACCCCACUGUGCUGGUGGAUGAGACAGCAGAAGGAAUAUCAACCUACCAACAGAAUCCUGAGAAAUGCUCACUCUUACUUCAAGCUGCUGCAUUUUGAUGUUAUGAAACCAUAAAUAACUUAUGAAGUCAUCUUUGCUGACUUAAAGUUUUCCAUAACUUUAUUAUAACAUAUCAAAAUUAUGAAAAAUGUGAAAAGUAGAAAACUGAUGAAUUUUGCUUCUUCAUAUGGUCUUUAAGAAUCUCAAAGGCACUGAAGUUUUUUAUCUUUUCUGUCUUAGAAUAAAAAACCUUGAAUGAAAAUCUGCUUCUUGGAAAAGCAGCAAGGUUUAUGCAGAGGCAAUCUGGUAUUUGUGUGCACUGGCAGCUGAUCAUACCCAGCAUGCACGCACUCUCAGGGCAGAGUCUGAUGCCCCACAUAAUGGGGCAUGGUAAGGACUCCCAUGUCCUUGAGAUAAAAUGAUAAGGAAAAUACACACUGCUAUUAGAAUAACAGGCCCAGCUUCUGCACAUUUUAAUUCCCAAAGUUUUCAUGAAAGACAAUGAUUUUUUGGUACCAUGUUUAACUCUACAAGAAUCAGUAGUGAAAACUAAAAAUGAUACUUUGUGAAAGUUCAUUAAUUUUGUUUUCAGCCAGUGGUGGCCUUGGUCAGAUAGAAUCAAAUCUAUGAUACUUUUUAUCAGAAAUGCUUAUACUGUGUACAAACCCAAAGUGAUGGCUUUCAAAGAUUGAAUUUGAUUAUUUUCUGUAUGGUGCAGAUGAAAAAUUACUACACAGGAGAAGGUGGGUUGGAGGUGCUCACGAGUAACCAGGAAACAGUCUGAAGUUUUUCUGAUACUUCUCCUUGGUCCAACCAAAUGUGAGAUAUAAACACAAACUUGGGAUUCCGUUCUUAUGUUUUGGUUGUUUCAGUCUUUACAGAUGUAUCGAAAGGCUGUCCAAAAAUGUCUGACUUCUGUAGUGUGCCUUCGUAGCACUAGAGGGUUCUGCAGCUGUGAAACUGAAGGCAUUGGCAAGAAGCCCUCCAUCUUCAAACCACUUUCUGCUAAGGUGUGGCUCUAUAAAACCACUAUGAGCUGGGCUUCACUGAGACUGAGUUGUUUCAGUAGGAUCUUCCGGAAAAACAUGUUCCCUCCUUUACCUGGGUUGUCAUUCUGAGAACAAUCACACCUCCAAUUUUGGCUUACUAAGCAAUAGCGUUUUAAUGAUUUUAAGCCAGGAUUUGCUCCUCCUUUCCUCAGUAUGAGAGCUUAACCACUGGAGGAACCAAGAAUUCAUGCUGGUUGGGUUCUGAUUCCACUUUAACUUACUGUAUAGCCUCAUCCCUUGUUUUUCUGGAGAUUCUCUUUUUCUGCUUCACUGAUUUAUAUUUACAUUAAAAUCAAAUGAGGCCAUGUUUCUGAAAUCACAUUGUCCCUACAUGGUCAUUACAAUGAGUCUGUAAUGUGACUGAAAGACAGCCAUGGAUACAGGUAGAGGAUAUCAGGCAAUUGAAUGCUCAUCAAGCAUUCAAUUCAGGGCAAAUGGCAUAAGGUAUGCAGUUGGCCUCUUCUGAUAUCUGUGUCUUAAUCCUUUCUUUAGCCUCUGUUUUCUGGACCAAGGCUAAGAUAUUUUCUGGGCACAGUGGCUCAUGCCUAUAAUCCCAGCACUCUGGGAGGCCAAGGUGGGAGGAUUUCUUCAGCCCAGGAGUUCGAGACCAGCCUGGGGAACAUAGGAGACCUCAUUCCUACAAAUAAUAAAAAAAAUUAGCCAGCUCUGGUGGCGUGUGCUUAUUGGUCUCAGCUACUUGGGAGGCUGAGGUGGGAGGACUGCUUGAGCCCAGAAGAUCGCAGCUGCAUUGAGCCAUGAUUGUGCCACUGAACCCUAGCCUGAGCAACAGAGCAAGGCCUUAUCUCAAAAAAAAAAAAAAAUUCUGAGCCUUCUAAUUUUUUUUUUCUUUAAUUAACUUUCUGUAAGCCCAGCAAGUAAAUAAAACACUUAUUUUAUGAAGCAUCUAGUUGCUUUUAGGGGAAGGGACAUCCUCCGCAUAGUAUCUAGGCCAGCUCACUUUCUUCUCCUUACUGUUGAUUUACUCUCUGCCAUUGAAUCUUCUGUGCCAAUGUUGGAUUAAUGUUUCCGGGCCCUACUUUCAUCAUGCUCCUCUGUAUUAUCACCUGUUUUGGUUUACAGCAAUGAUUUUUAAGGUAAGGCAUGGUGUGUCCAUCAUAGUCACAUGGGAACUUUUUCAAGCCAUAUUAAAAAUGUCCCCCAUUCAUCAUUCUGCCCCUGGAACAGUGUGUGCAGUUGGGACCUUCAAGUAAAUCUACUUUGUUGAAACCCACUGAUCAGCAUGGUGUAUUUCAUAACUCUUUGACUUACAUUCAAGAAAUUCCUUAACCUGAACUCCAUUUUACUCUUUUUUUCAUUCAUUCAAAUUAAGAAUAUUGCCUGAACAUGAAUUAUCUGCUAGACGUUUUUCUAGGUGCAGGAGGAGUAAGGAUGAACAUAACUAGCCAUAACUAUAGCUAUCAAUUGUGGAGUGUCUGUUAUGUGCCAGGCACUUUUAAGUGACCUACUCGAUUUACUUGCAUGACAAACUGUGAGGAAAAGCCCAAUAUUAUCCCCUAUUAACAGAUGAGGAAACUGAAGCACAAACAGCAUGAAUAGUUUGUUCCAGAUUGCAUCAUAAGAGGCACAGCCAGCUUUCCUACCAAAGC